rnacentral:rRNA from 1 species
UACGUAGGGGGCAAGCGUUGUCCGGAAUUAUUGGGCGUAAAGAGCGUGUAGGCGGUCCGAUAAGUCGGCUGUGAAAGUCCAGGGCUCAACUCUGGAAUGCCGGCCGAUACUGUCGGACUAGAGUCCGGAAGAGGUGAGUGGAAUUCCCGGUGUAGCGGUGAAAUGCGCAGAUAUCGGGAGGAACACCGGUGGCGAAGGCGGGACUCUGGGCCGAUACUGACGCUGAGGAGCGAAAGCGUGGGGAGCGAACAGG